UACGAAGGGGGCGAGCGUUGUUCGGAUUUACUGGGCGUAAAGGGCGCGCAGGCGGCAGACCAAGUCAGGCGUGAAAGCCCCGGGCUUAACCUGGGAGGUGCGUCUGGGACUGGUAUGCUAGAGUUCGGGAGAGGAGAGUGGAAUUCCCAGUGUAGAGGUGAAAUUCGUAGAUAUUGGGAAGAACACCGGUGGCGAAGGCGGCUCUCUGGACCGAGACUGACGCUGAGGCGCGAAGGCCAGGGGAGCAAACGGG
rnacentral:rRNA from 1 species